rnacentral:rRNA from 1 species
AUUGAACGCUGGCGGCAGGCCUAACACAUGCAAGUCGAGCGGCAGCGGGAAGUAGUUUGCUACUUUGCCGGCGAGCGGCGGACGGGUGAGUAAUGUCUGGGAAACUGCCUGAUGGAGGGGGAUAACUACUGGAAACGGUAGCUAAUACCGCAUAACGUCGCAAGACCAAAGAGGGGGACCUUCGGGCCUCUUGCCAUCAGAUGUGCCCAGAUGGGAUUAGCUAGUAGGUGGGGUAACGGCUCACCUAGGCGACGAUCCCUAGCUGGUCUGAGAGGAUGACCAGCCACACUGGAACUGAGACACGGUCCAGACUCCUACGGGAGGCAGCAGUGGGGAAUAUUGCACAAUGGGCGCAAGCCUGAUGCAGCCAUGCCGCGUGUAUGAAGAAGGCCUUCGGGUUGUAAAGUACUUUCAGCGGGGAGGAAGGCGAUAAGGUUAAUAACCUUGUCGAUUGACGUUACCCGCAGAAGAAGCACCGG